AGUGGUACGGUGUUUGCUUAGCAUGCAAGAGACUCUAGGUUCAAUCCCUAGUACCACUG
rnacentral:tRNA from 1 species